rnacentral:rRNA from 1 species
UACAGAGGUGCCAAGCGUUAGGCGGAAUCACUGGGCUUAAAGCGUGUGUAGGCGGAUCGUUAAGUGUCUUGUGAAAUCCCACGGCUCACCCGUGGAACUGCUGGGCAUACUGGCGAUCUUGGGCCAACUAGGGGCAACUGGAACAAGCGGUGGAGCGGUGAAAUGCGUAGAUAUCGCUUGGAACGCCAACGGUGAAAACAGGUUGCUGGGGUUGUGCCGACGCUGAGACACGAAAGCCCAGGGGAGCAAACGGG